AAAUAUUGAAGAUGCCUCAGCCCCCCUGGAGUUGGUUUGCCUGCUCAAUAGUCAGAGGUAGUAUGCCUCUGGGUACCAGUUUGCCAGGAAUCAAAGGUAAGUGGAGUGCCAUUGAGCUCAGGUCUUGCUGCCAGGCUUCCCAGAGGCAUCAGUCUGACCAAUGUGAGAACAGGAUGCUAGGCUAGAUGGGCCAAUGGCCUGGUCCAACAGGGUUCUUCUUAUGUUCUUAAUGGGGGUCACACAAAUUCUUGGAGGAUAGGGAUCCUAGCUACAACGACUAGGUUCUAUGUCUCCUGUCAGACGCAGCAUGGCCCUGAAAACCAGUUCCAGGGAACCGCAAGAGGGGGGGAGAGUCUCUUCUGCACUUCGAUACUGCUUGAAGUCUUCUGGUAAUUCCAGUUCUGGGCACCACAAUUUAAGAAGGAUGUUGACAAGCUGGAACGUGUGCAGAGGAGGGCAACCAAGAUGAUGAUGAUGAUGAUGAUGAUGAUGAUAAUACAAUUUUAUUUAUACCCCCUCCCUUCCCGGUUCAGAGGUUUGUGAGCUUAGAAGGUUGUGGACUCUCCUUCCUUGGAAGUUUCUAAGCAGAGGUUGGAUGGCCAUCUGUCAUGGAUGCUUUAGCUGAGAUUCCUGCAUGGCAGUGGGCUGGACCAGAUGACCUCCCUUCUAGAUCUGCAUUUCUAUUAUUCUAUCUAGUAAGUCACUAUGAGAACAGGACACUGGAGUAGAUGAGUCAUUGGCGUGAUCCAGCAGACUUAUCUUAUGCUCGGAAGAUGAUGAACUCUCCUUCAUUGAGAGCCAGUGUGGUGUAGUGGUUAAGAGCGGUGGACCCGUAAUCUGGUGAACCGGGUUCGCUUCCCCGCUCCUCCACAUGCAGCUGCUGGGUGACCUUGGUCUAGUCACACUUCUCUGAAGUCUCUCAGCCUCACUCACCUCACAGAGUGUUUGUUGUGGGGGAGGAAGGGAAAGGAGAAUGUUAGCCGCUUUGAGACUCCUUCAGGUGGUGAUAAAGCGGGAUAUCAAAUCCAAACGCUUCUUCAUUGCAGGCUUCUCAACAGAGGUUGGACGACCAUCUGUCCGGGAUGCCUUAGUUGUGAUUCCUGCAUGGCAGUGGGCUGGACUAGAUGCCUCUUGGGGUCCCUUGCGACUCUGCAAUUCUGUGCUUCUCUUCUUCUCCUGUGUAGAUUUGGCAGGUUUGUUGAAUGGCUGUCUGGAGCUGAAACCGAUGAAGAGGCAGAAGAAUCUGGUGGAGAAAUUUGGAACGGGAAGACAAAGCAAACGACAGGAAAGGGGGGACACACAAGCGCACACAAACUGCAAUGGGACAGCCCCAAAGAGAAAGGGAAGCUUUAGAACUCACAAGAGGAAUGCCAGUACAAAUGAAAACCAUUCCAGAGCACUGGGGGAUUAUGAACUGGCAUUCCCGCUAAUAUAGCAC